AUGGAUGGUGUUUGGAGCCCCAGGA
rnacentral:miRNA from 1 species